rnacentral:rRNA from 1 species
AGAGUUAAAAGUACGUGAAAUUGUUAAAAGGGAAACGAUUGAAACCAGUAUUUAUAUUGUAGACUCAACCUAGAGUGCAAACAAAGGGUGUAAUUCUGCAGUAUAAAGUCAACAUCAGUUUAGUUUGUUGGACAAAAGUCGGAGGAAGGUGACUUUCUUGUAAAGUUUUAUAGACUCUGAUGUAUACAGCGAACUAGACUGAGGAAUGCAACUCGGCCUUUAUUGGUUAGGUCAAUCCAGUUAAUAUUCUUUAAGCAUUGUUAAACAGCACGCUGGUUGACUUUGCUUUAGAGUUUGUUUGAUUGGGGCGAUACAUUCGAGUUCAGGAUGUUGACGAAAUGGUUUUAAACGACC